rfam:Synechococcus sp. CC9902, complete genome.
GGGUUAAAGGAAGUGCGGAUACUGUAGGGGCCAGCUCCGGUUAGGGGCUGGUCCUGCC